UGCAUGUCUAAGUAUAAGCAAUUAUACAGCGAAACUGCGAAUGGCUCAUUAUAUAAGUUAUCGUUUAUUUGAUAGUACCUUACUACUUGGAUAACCGUGGUAAUUCUAGAGCUAAUACAUGCUAAAAAUCCCGACUUCGGAAGGGAUGUAUUUAUUAGAUUAAAAACCAAUGCCCUCUGGGCUCCUUGGUGAUUCAUGAUAACUCUUCGAAUCGCACGGCCUUGCGCCGGCGAUGGUUCAUUCAAAUUUCUUCCCUAUCAACUUUCGAUGUUUGGGUAUUGGCCAAACAUGGUUGCAACGGGUAACGGAGGGUUAGGGCUCGACCCCGGAGAAGGAGCCUGAGAAACGGCUACUACAUCCAAGGAAGGCAGCAGGCGCGCAAAUUACCCAAUCCCGAUUCGGGGAGGUAGUGACAAUAAAUACUGAUACAGGGCUCUUUUGGGUCUUGUAAUUGGAAUGAGUACAAUUUAAAUCCCUUAACGAGGAACAAUUGGAGGGCAAGUCUGGUGCCAGCAGCCGCGGUAAUUCCAGCUCCAAUAGCGUAUAUUAAAGUUGUUGUGGUUAAAAAGCUCGUAGUUGAACCUUGGGCCUGGCUGGCCGGUCCGCCUCACCGCGUGCACUGGUCCGGCCGGGCCUUUCCCUCUGUGGAACCCCAUGCCCUUCACUGGGCGUGGCGGGGAAACAGGACGUUUACUUUGAAAAAAUUAGAGUGCUCCAGGCAGGCCUAUGCUCGAAUACAUUAGCAUGGAAUAAUGAAAUAGGACGCGUGGUUCUAUUUUGUUGGUUUCUAGGACCGCCGUAAUGAUUAAUAGGGACAGUCGGGGGCAUCAGUAUUCAAUUGUCAGAGGUGAAAUUCUUGGAUUUAUUGAAGACUAACUACUGCGAAAGCAUUUGCCAAGGAUGUUUUCAUUAAUCAGGAACGAAAGUUAGGGGAUCGAAGACGAUCAGAUACCGUCGUAGUCUUAACCAUAAACUAUGCCGACUAGGGAUCGGACGAUGUUAUUUUUUGACGCGUUCGGCACCUUACGAGAAAUCAAAGUGCUUGGGCUCCAGGGGGA
rnacentral:rRNA from 1 species